GCCUGGAAAGACUAGCUAGCUAGAUGAUCGAUCAAAGUAUAGCUAAAAUUAGAGUCGUAGAAGAUGAUAAGAUUGAGUUGGGAGGCAGCAGCAGCAGAGGAAUGAAUUUUUAGGCUUCUGCAGACUGUAGAACGUGUAGUUGGACAAGAAUUUAGGGGGAAUUCAAAAAGAGUAUCCGUUCUUCGAUGGCCAGCUUAAUGACCAAUAAAUCAAUUAGUGGGGUGUAAUUGGAUUCUCCUUUUUUUU
rnacentral:misc_RNA from 1 species